UUAAUUGAAGAGUUUGAUCAUGGCUCAGAUUGAACGCUGGCGGCAGGCCUAACACAUGCAAGUCGAGCGGUAACAGGAAUUAGCUUGCUAAUUUGCUGACGAGCGGCGGACGGGUGAGUAAUGCCUGGGAAUAUGCCUUAGUGUGGGGGAUAACUAUUGGAAACGAUAGCUAAUACCGCAUAACGUCUUCGGACCAAAGAGGGGGACCUUCGGGCCUCUCGCGCUAAGAUUAGCCCAGGUGGGAUUAGCUAGUUGGUGAGGUAAAGGCUCACCAAGGCAACGAUCCCUAGCUGGUCUGAGAGGAUGAUCAGCCACACUGGAACUGAGACACGGUCCAGACUCCUACGGGAGGCAGCAGUGGGGAAUAUUGCACAAUGGGGGAAACCCUGAUGCAGCCAUGCCGCGUGUAUGAAGAAGGCCUUCGGGUUGUAAAGUACUUUCAGUCGUGAGGAAGGCAUUGUAGUUAAUAGCUGCAGUGCUUGACGUUAGCGACAGAAGAAGCACCGGCUAACUCCGUGCCAGCAGCCGCGGUAAUACGGAGGGUGCGAGCGUUAAUCGGAAUUACUGGGCGUAAAGCGCAUGCAGGCGGUCUGUUAAGCAAGAUGUGAAAGCCCGGGGCUCAACCUCGGAACCGCAUUUUGAACUGGCAGACUAGAGUCUUGUAGAGGGGG
rnacentral:rRNA from 1 species